UUAGGGCAUGGGGAGGCAUGUGACACAGAGAAAGGAUGGAUACCCUUGAGGCGAGGGGGAAGCCAGGACUUCCCUGUAGUGGUUGGAAGGUGGUGGGACAGAUCCUAAUGGCCGCGUACACACAGGUCAGCCAACCUGUGACAGUAGACAUAUUCCGUUCCACAUGAAAGGUAGUCCUGAAGUGCUCACAUCAGGGAUGCUAGAGCCUAGCCCCUGUGCUUCUGGGCCAGUGUGGGACUCCUGACUAAAAGGGUAUUAAAAGUUGUGGGCCAGGAUGUGGGAAAUCAAAACUACCAAGGAGAGUGUAGUACCCUGAAGUUUAUAACAGUGCCAGGCCUGAAGGGAAAGGGGAAAAAAGUAGUUUCCAGAGCUUAGAAGAAAGGGCAAGCUUGGCAAAAGCAGUGGUCUUCAGUGGAGGGACACAGCCAUCUAGAGGGGACCCAGAACUUACCCUCCCCUCUCCCUCUGACUUCCUGCUGGGGCUCUCUGUUGUUAGACCCCAAGGCAAGCCAGAUGACAAGAGAGCUCCCUGGUCAGGUCCAAAGAGCUCAGCCUCCCAAGGCAGAGAGCACAGAGGGACAGAGAGGGGCUCUGAGGGGAAAAAGAAAGAGAUACAGUAAAAACAUUCCAAUUAGUCCAAUUUAUUAACAGACAAUGUGGAGGGCAGCCCUGGUGGUUUAGUGGUUUAACACUGCCUUGGACCCGGGAUGUGAUCCUGGAGACAGGGGAUCGAGUCCCAUGUCGGGCUCCCUGUGUGGAGCCUGCUUCUCCCUCUGCCUGUGUCUCUGCCUCUCUCUCUCUCUCUGUGUCUCUCAUGAAUAAAUAAAUAAAAUCUUUAAAAAGAAAAAAAAAGACAAUGUGGCGUUCUGAAUUUUUUUUCUUUUUUUCCUUUUUUAGAGACAAAUGGUGAGUCUUGAAUUUUCUACAUUAUUUCCUUAAUACUCAAUUUCACCUACCCCAUGCCUAUGGGCACAAAAACAAUGCUCUUUUGCCAUCCUGACUUUUCUUUGAAUGUUUACAACUGCCCUUUUGUGCUAAAGCCAAUCAAGAAAGACAGUGAUUGAAACAAUUAUAAGGACUAAUAAUGCUAUCUUCAAAGUUCAGCAAAAAAUCUCUUUUGAUAAGAGUAUAAAAUUUGACAAAAUGUUGCUACAUGAAACCUGGAUAAUAUCCACUAUAGUCUAAGAGAAUUGAGUUUGUGCAGCCUAGUAAGUAAUGGUUGUUUCAGAGGAGCAGAAUAUUGAAUCACAAUCAACUGAAACCUUAGCAAGCCUAAUUCAUACAUCUCUGCAUGGAUACCCAUAUUUUAGCAUUGUUUCUCUCUCUGUCUCUCUCUCUCUCUCUCUCUUUUUUUUUUUUUGUUAUUACUCUGGAAGAUAAUUCAAUUUGCAUUUCACAUUUCCUCACAGAUAUUCUGAAUCUUAUGAAUAUAAAAAUCAUGGACUUGGCCCAAUUUUAUUUAAUCAGUUUUUCUGUUUCCUAAUUCAGGAUUAACUUCCCAGGAUAUAUGCAGAGAUUUAGUAGCAAGAGCGACAGUGUGCACAUUAAAAUAUGGAGAAUUUCAGCAGCAAUUUGAGUUAUGGUAAUUACUGGGUUUGUUUACACAGACAUAGAUGAAAAGCAUAACCUUUUUGUUCCUGUCUUUUUUUUCCUUAAUUUGGAAAAACUGUGUGCUACCAACAGAGAAAUCAUACAACAGUUGUUUAAUGUCAUGGAGGAAAUCAGGUGCAACCAACAAGACCUGAGAAAUAAAGAGAUCAAAACUGUCUGAGGUAGUGUUUUAACUAGGCACCCUUUCUCCUGGAGCCACCCCCAAUGGUAUAGUAAGGCUCUCAUGCUCACUUUGUGCUCAGAAUUAUUGUCACACAUUCACUUGUCCCAAACUAACCAUCUAGUGGGUUUCUACUCACACCAGAAUUGUCCAGUGUGGCCCUAAUAUCAUCUUCUUUUUCCACAUUCAUUCUCCAUACCUGCUCCCUGGACCUGUCUGCUUCAACCAAGAAGCAUCGAGGAAGCCCCCUGAGAUGGGACCCAUAUUGGAGAAGAGGAACGAAGGAGAUAGAUGGUCCCCAGCAACUAGGAGCCAACUGGGUAAGCACCAAUGCUCCCAGGGAAGGUGAGAAAAUAAACGCACCCUUGGGAACACUCAAGAACAGACCAGGCCUGGAACACCUGGGUGUCCUUUAGCUCUGGGCAUGAUCCCGGGAUCCUGAGAUAGAGUCCCACAUGGGGCUCCCUGCAGGGAGCCUGCUUCUCCCUCUGCCUGUGCCUCUGCCUCUCUCUCUCUCUGUGUCUCUCAUGAAUAAAUAAAUAAAAAUCUUAAAAAAAAAAAAAAAAA
rnacentral:lncRNA from 1 species